UCACCCCACCCCUGCCCAGAACUCUUUCCUCAAGGCUAGCCUAGGGGAGCACAACCUUGGGCUGCUUCCCCUGCAUGCUUAGAUCCAGCCAGAGCCCCCCUGCUGGGCCACAGACCUCCAUCCCCAUAGCGGCUUCUUUUCCAAAGUGCAUUCACCUCAUUGAGAACAGCCUCUCCCCUCCUGAACAUUCCAGACAUUCCACUCAGGCUGACUUAAUGCCACCUGGCCAGAAAAAAACAGUGUCCAUUCCCCCUUUUCUAAAACCUUGAUUUUGUGAUCGUUUGAACCUUUGAGUUUAGAAUCACUGUAUUAUAACUUCCUUGGGAUCCUACCUUUGCAGCUAGCCACAUUCCAAAUUAUAAGACUCUCUCUGGAAGCCCGUUGUAGACAACCAAAAGCCCUGAUGAUGUAAGGGAGCUCGCCAGACACACACUUUCAUACUCACCACCUUGUCUUAAGCUGCUUACCAUCUGCUGGCCCCAGUCAGCUCUUCUGGGAAAAGCUGCGUUUGGAAAAGGAGUUCCCCGAAUGUAUUUAAUAUCAAAUGGAGCAAUGGUUCUCAAAGUGUGCUCCCUGGAGCAGCAGCAGCACCAGCAUCUCCUGGGAACGCUUUAGACAUGCACAUCCUCCAGCCCCACCCACCCCUGCUGAGUUAGAAGCUCUGCGGUGAGGCCAGUGCACUCAAGUUUGGGAACUACCAAUAUAGAGUAAAAGAUGGGGGAGAAAACCCCUUGAGUAUCAAAUUUAGAAGGCCACAAUAGUGAAGCGUCUGUGCCUACUGUUUGCAGAAUGUGGAAGGUUUAGGGUGUUUACUACUGUAUGUUGAAUAAUGAUUCUCUUAAAACUUUUGUGAAUUGUAAAAGUAAAUCCCUAGGAAUGCUGGGCAGUGAUAACCUGACUCUCCCAUUUUCACCUGCAUACACAUACCCAGAACAUCCUUUUCUCCUUCACAACAGGGAAGUUGGAAGGUAAAAGUUAUUUUCUACCAAUAUAAAGUCUUAGAUUUUUAUUUACUAAAUUCUUAACACAGUACAUGGCACAGUUACCUUUUAAAGGCUUUCCAUUUCUUUAAUCUGAGCCCACAGCAACCCCAUUUUAAGGAGAGGAACUAGAGCCAGAGAGAUUUAGGAGCCAGCCUGUACCUCAGGAAUGAGAGACAUUACUUGCGGGAGCAGAGAUUUGAGCUCGGCAAUACUCCCAGACCCACACUUGCCCUUGCUUUUGAUUUUCUACCUCCCUAAUGAACAAGUGGGGAUCAUGAAAGUCAGCUGUGCCCAGCUUACUUAGAGCACCUGUUUCUGUCUGAGCAAUGAAAAGCCAUUUGAUUGGCGGUCAACUUGGAGAAACCUUGACCCUAAAAGAUAAUGCCAUAAAGACCAAACACACUGGGCGAUCAUAUCAUUUCAACUUGACAAAAUUUGUCGUACUCUUUUCUCGAGGUGGACUUCUUUUUUUGCUAGUGGCAGGGGUAGAUAUCCUUGUUUUGCUGGUAAUUAUCACCAUUUACCUUAGACUUCAUAGGUGGUUUUUUAUGUAUUCCUCAUGAAAGCCAUAGCCAAAGACCUUUUCAACCCCAAGCAUCUGUCUCUUGGUAGGUACUGGCUUCAGGCAAGUGGCUUCUCUCAUUAAGAAAAUACAGUAAUUUGAGUGUCAUUGCUACAAGGGAAGUGUUCCUAUGUACUCCAUCACACCAACUGCAGUGAGACUAUCAGGAAAGCUUUGGGUACCCUCCCCAGGAAAACUGCACAUCACUCUGCUGAAAUUUCAGGAAAAGUUUACGGGUCUCAAGGACAGAGUUGAAGUCAAAAAAUUUCACCUUCAUGUUAAUUUUUUAUGGAUUUUUUAAGGGUGGGGGGAGGCAAAAAGAUUUAUUUCACCAUUCCCUUUGUCUUCUUAAAACUCAGAAGAAACCUCACAGACCAAUGAGAGAGUUUGAAAUCGCUAUUUUAAGAGGCAUAGCAUAAAAGAAUUUUGAUAGAAAAGUAGAGCAAAAUAAGCAGUAAAACCUCAUCCCUAACAUUCUCCAGCUGCCUGACAUCCUGGUUCAGUUCCAGAGACUUGGACCACUGCUCCCUAGUUCCAGGGGGUGGCACAGGAGCCAAAAACGAGACCUGAGGCUGAAGCCCAACAGAAGAUGAAACUUGGGAGCAGCCUCAGCUUCGGGAAUCCUCACUUCCUGGCACAGCAGGUUUGGGUGCCACAGAGCCCAGGGCUAGACACCUGCCAGCAGUCCAUCAGUCACAGUCUCAGAUGAGUGGCAUCAAGGUGGAGCCCACUGAGGUGAAGGAAGGAGCUGUGAGGGACACCUGCAUCCUGCUGCAGAAAUGUCUGCCCCCCGCCUUGUCCCACCGCAGCUCUAUCUCACAGUUGGAGAAGCAGAAGCAAAGCAACCUGUCCUGGACCAUGCAGCCUGGUCCUCUGUUUCCAGAGCCAGAGGUCUUUGUGCUCUGAAACAAAGACAGUGACCCCAUUAACCCACUGGCACUUACUGUGUGCCAGGCACUCAGCCUGUGUUGUCUCAUUGCAGCACAGAGCAGCCCUGGGAAUGGAAGCAGUGUCAUCAUUCCCAUUUUUCAGGUGAGGCACAGGCUCAGAAAGGUCAAGAAACUUGCUCACGGUCUCACAGCUGGUGAGUAGGUUGUCAGACUCCAAAGAUGUGUGCUGCUAACCCUGCCCAAAGGGACUUCAUCCUCCUCCCUCCUUCCCAGGCAGUUCUCCCAACCACCCACCAACAGGCAACGUAGGUGUGAUUGCCUUCAAAGUUUUCUACUUGCCUUCAAGCUUGAAGCACUGGAGACUGAGGGAAGAGAGCACUGGAAGUGGAGGAAGAAAAAAGAGCUGUUCCCUCCAAGGUUGUUCCCUUGGGCCUGACUCGACUGGAAGAAGCAGGGUGUAUAUGUGUGUGUGUGUGUAAUUGACUUUGUGACCAUGAAACUGAGUUAAUACUCUUCUGUCUUUGCCUGUUUCUUCUUGUACAUCACCUAGAGGAAUACCCAUUAAUGUUUAGAGGCAGAGAACAAUAGAAAAUAGCACUGUUCAAGGACCAAAAAUUUAAAAAGACUGCUGACAUACAGCAUAGAAUGUGAAAGUCCCUGAUAAUCUUAUCCCUAGGGAUAACCACUUGCCAUUUUUUUACAAUUUCAAUUUUUUAUGAUUAUAAAAGUCAUACACAUUUAAAAAUACUUCAAAAUAAAUACAAAAUAAAAAUAAAUGCUUCAUUGCUUAGGUUACCUUGGUACAUGCAAGGUCUGAGACCACAUCCAUCAAUGCAGUUUGCUGCGUGGAUUACCAGAUCUCUCCAACAUUGACCUCAAUUUUUUACUCUGAGAGCAAACAGAAUGGGCAAGGGCUGACCUGAAAUCCUUUUGAAACACAAGCUGGAUCCUAGGGCUUUGACCUCCACUGCUCACUGCCACAUGGGAUCCGUCUCUGUGCCCCACUCUGCCCCAGCCCCACUGGCCUUCCUGCUGCUGCUCACACAGGCCUACUCUUAAGGCCUUUGCAUACUCUGUUCCCUGCAGAGGCCUCUGCCUCUGAACAAAUGUGGGACCCAUCUCUGCCAAGGCUGGGAAGCAAACAGCCCCCACUUUGCCUUGUCAGCCUGUGUUUGCACCAUUCCUGUGGUGGCCUCUCCCAGCUGCUUUCACGUGGGAUUUGAGCUCUGGGAAGCUGGAAGUUUGUGGAGUCCACUUCCCUCAUUUUGCAUAUAUGGAUGAUAAAGCCCACAGGCAAGGGCUCUGACAAAAGGAAAGAUUCCUUCCAUUUGGCAUUGUGAUGCAGAGGCUGUCACAGACAAGCCUGGGAAUUUGGGAUACAUCUUGCUGAGCCUAGAGACAGAAAAGAGCUUCUAGGCUGCCUUCCCUGAGCCCCGGGCCAGGCCCCUCCAGGACACACUUGCAUGGCACCCUGUUCUUUAAAACACUGCACACCAACGACUAUGCAAAGGAUUAACUGACUUCUCAAUAUUCUUGUUUUCUACCGAGUGAUAAGCUUCAGAAGGACAAGGUAUGAGUCCGUUUUGCUCUUUUGCCUUCCCCAGCACAUGGCACAAUGCCCAGCACAUAGUGUUUUGAGAGACAGCUGACUGGCUGUCUCAUACAAGGCCCUGCUCUGUUGGGCACAAGGGCUGCUUAACACAUUCCUAUGCUACAAAAGACAGUGCUCCUCUCCAGGAACCACCAAAUAAAUUCAGAUACUAAUGCCAAAAAGAAGGCAGCAUCAGCUUGGGAAAAGAGUGCCUUUAAGGCACUGUUUCUCUCUAUGAAGGCAGUGUGGAAUGAUAGGGAUGAUCUAGGACCUAGAGGAGAGACCUUAAGUCUUACUUGCAGCCAAAAGCCUUCAAACCUGAGCUAGCCAGAACUGUUACAUCAGAAUUCUCACCCAUGACAAGAAGCCUGGAGGGAGUCCAGGGUUGAUGGAUUGACUUAAGGUGUCAUCAAAAGCUUAGACUUUACCCUUCUGCUGCACCACCCUUAUUGCCUUGUUGUCACAAGAGGACUACUGCUGUUCAAGUCAUCACUUCCACAUUCCAGAAGGAAGAAAGGAGAGGUAGAGGGCCAGAAGUAUCCCCUCCUUUUAUCAGGAGCCAUUAACUUUCCCAGAAACUUCCAUGUCCACCCAGCAGACCUCCACUUACAUCUCACUAGGCAGAACUCCUAUCACUUGGCCACCCCAGCAGUCAGGGAAGCUGGAAGGGUGAGCAUUCAGCUAUAGAGAGUGGAAGCACAAGCAGCAAGGGAAGAACAGGUCAGUAAUUGCUGUAGAGUUUCCUGCCCAGCAGCAUCUGCCAAAACUAGGUAAAUUAUUUUUUAACAUAAUAGUAUUUUUGUGGAUUUUCUUACAAAAGCAAUGCAUAUAUAUUGUUACUUUGAAAAAUAAAGAUUUUAAAUCUUCAACAAGCCCAUUACUCAGGAGUGAUGACUGUUAUUCUUGGUUUAUUAGCUUUCUAGAUCUUUGUAUUUUUUUUAACGUGGGUAGAACCACAAUAUGGGUUGCUCUGAAAUUAGCCUUUACACUUGGCAUUGUGAAAAAUCUUUCCAAAUCAUUAAAUGUUCUCUGCAGAAUUAC
rnacentral:lncRNA from 10 species